rnacentral:rRNA from 1 species
UACAGAGGGGGCUAGCGUUGUUCGGAAUUACUGGGCGUAAAGGGCGCGUAGGUGGCCUGUUAAGUCGAACGUGAAAUCCCCGGGCUCAACCCGGGAACUGCGUCCGAGACUGGCAGGCUCGAAUCCGGGAGAGGGAUGCGGAAUUCCAGGUGUAGCGGUGAAAUGCGUAGAUAUCUGGAGGAACACCGGUGGCGAAGGCGGCAUCCUGGACCGGCAUUGACGCUGAGGAGCGAAAGCCAGGGGAGCAAAGCGGG